rnacentral:lncRNA from 1 species
GCUUUAAGUAAAUAUCAAACCUUUUUUUCCUGUACACUUCAUUCUCUUCUAAGCCUCUGCAAUAAUGAACUGCCUUGUGUGUUUCCAUCUCUAAAAUCUGAUUGUUAGACAAGACCCUGUACUUUUAAGGAACAACUUUCUUGAUAGCAGAAUAUCAUAGCAUAGUAGCUAAUAAAGGCAUGCCUGGAAAUCCCAACUACUUACUCUAUUGGUCGAGGCAGGAGAGCCUCAAGUUCAAGGCCAGUCUGGCCUGGGUAGUGAGACACUGUCUUUUUUGUUUUGUUUUGUUUUGGUUUUUUCGAGACAGGAUUUUGUAUAGCCCUGGCUGUCCUGGAACUCAUUCUGUAGACCAGGCUGGCCUCGAACUCAGAAAUUCACCUGCCUCUGCCUCCCAAGUGCUGGGAUUAAAGUCUUGCACCACCAUCAAAACAACCACCCAGUCCCUGAUUCCCAACUCUCUUUCCCUUUAAGUGCUUUCAGAGUAGGAAGGUACAGUAUAUACCUACCAAUAUAACCACCUACAGGUGCUUAAGCCUUAUGGCUAGCUGUGAUCUGACACUGUUCAUUAGUCUGUCUUCAUCCUAUUCAGUCCAUAGUGAAUAGUAAAAGUCCAUGCAAAAUUGUAUAAGUGCUUUGAAAGUUGUGAUAAUACCAUCAUUGUUGUAAUAUCUUAUAAAAGACUUUUUGUGAGUGUCCCAAAGUAUAGCCCAGACUGUCCUGAAUUUGUUGAUCCCUCUGCCUCAGCCUCCAGAGUAUUAGAAUUAUAAGUUAAUGCCACUAUGCCAGGGAUAUAAAAGAUUUUUAAAUGAAACUUCCCAAGAGUCCGAGGGAUUACAGUGCUUUCUUCCUUCCUUCCUUUUUUUUUUUAAUCUCAGGGAAAUUUUCAGGUUAUAAAUAAAGUGCAGGUAUAUGCUAGAUUAGUUUGGACUACUAAUUGCUUGAAUUAUAGCAAUAAAUAAAUGUUAUUAUAUUUAUUAUAUAAAUUUAUAUUUAUAUAAAUAAUAUAAUAUAAUAUAAUAUAAUAUAAUAUAUAUUAUAGCGAUAAAUAAAUGUUAUUAUAAAGCAUCUAUAUAAAUAUUGGUUUGUUAGCACUUGUUCACAUCCAGAAAUGAGCAUGUAUUUGUGGUGGAAGCAGAAUUUCAGCUACAUCAUAGAUGAAAGUGCCACUACUGAUUUCUUGUCAAGAAAAUGGACCAAACUGAAAUAGGAUUGGAAAGUAACUGAAAUAAUCUCAGAACUUGAUUUACCCAAGAAUUAAUAAACAGCUUGGUUUCCAAAUGUCCCAAGGUCAUUUGAAAUGUGAAAGGAAUAAUGUUUGGAAUUUGCUUCUAUGUGGUGGUGCAUGCCUUUAAUCCCGACACUCGGGAGGCAGAGGCAGGCGGAUUUCUGAGUUGGAGGCCAGCCUGGUCUACAAAGUGAGUUCCAGGACAGCCAGGGCUAUACAGAGAAACCCUGUCUCAAAAAACAAAAAAACAAACAAAAUUACUUUUAGUAGGUUUAUUUUGUUUUUUGAGAUGGCUUUUUUUUUCCCUUACCCUAUAUUGUGAAGACUCAUUGUGUACUCCAAGCUGGCCUUGAAUCCAUGAUUCUUCUGCUGUAGCUUUUGGAGUAUUGGUAUUACAGGACCAUGCCAGACAAACUUACCUUCAUUGUUUGUUUGUUUGUUUGUUUGGUAAACUUGUCAAAAUAUGCCUCUCCUCCUACUGGGCAGUCAUACUCAAUAAUUUAGAUGAAACUGAUUUAUAGGAAUUUUUGUACCAAGGAUCUAUUACUGAUCCAGGAAUUCAAUUCUUCAAUUACAUUUGUUUUAUUUAAUUAUCUAUUUAUUUAAGAUUUAUUUAUUUAUUAUAUAUAAGUACACUGUUGCUGUCUUCAGACACUCCAGAAGAGGGUGUCAGAUUUCAUUACAGAUGGUUGUGAGCCACCAUGUGGCUUUUUAUAAAUGUGUGCUUUUACUUUUUAUUUUUAUUUAUUUAUUUUUAAAGACUUAUUUAUUUUAUGUGUAUGAGUGCACUGUUUCUGUCUUCAGACACACCAGAAGAGGGCAUCAGAUCCCAUUACAGAUGGUUGUGAGCCACCAUGUGGUUGUUGGGAAUUGAACUCAGGACUUCUGGAAAGAGCUGUCAGUGUUCUUAACUGCUGAGCCAUAUCAUUCCAGCCCAUAUCAUUUUGUUUUAGAUCAAAAUAUUUGGGUUCAAAUUAAAGGUCAAACCUAAGGAUAAGUAAAGCUUUG